rnacentral:misc_RNA from 1 species
UGGAUCGGGCACUUUCGACUGGAGAACUUUCUACUUAUUACUAAUAAUGCUGGAAAUGUAUCGAACAAUGAAUGCGUCAACUGCAGCGCAUACAGCGGAUCUUGUGAAGUUAACAGAACGGGCUGGGCCCCCUUUAAGAUGUCGUUGUUUGACUCUGAAAUAGUUCGUCCCAUAACCACAUUCGAGAUAGCGGAUUCGGAUACAAAAUUGGCUGGCUGCGUUAUUGAUGGUUAUACAAUAACUGAUGAAGUAGACACAUUCAUUUGCUUCUGGGCCCCAUAUUUUGGAUGUCAGACUGUCGCCAGCAAGGAUUAUGUUAACAUACAUCAUUUCCAUCGUAUCGCUUGCCAGCAAUGUUUUAAGUAUUGUCGUUGUACGACACAAACAAAUUCAGCAAUUCGCAAAUCAUUGAUACAAUUUGUCCACUUUUGUAUUUUUUUUGUCUGUUACUAUACAAUUUAAAUUAAAUUGUGUUGAAAUCACUAUUCCGAUAAAUAUAUAUGCACAGCU